ACGGAGGGUGCAAGCGUUGUCCGGAUUUAUUGGGUUUAAAGGGUGCGUAGGCGGUACGCUAAGUCAGUGGUGAAAUCCCGCAGCUCAACUGCGGAACUGCCAUUGAUACUGGCGUACUUGAGUACAGACGAGGUAGGCGGAAUUUAUGGUGUAGCGGUGAAAUGCAUAGAUACCAUAAAGAACACCGAUAGCGAAGGCAGCUUACUAGACUGUAACUGACGCUCAGGCACGAAAGCGUGGGGAGCGAACAGG
rnacentral:rRNA from 1 species